UAGGGAAUCUUCGGCAAUGGGGGCAACCCUGACCGAGCAACGCCGCGUGAGUGAAGAAGGUUUUCGGAUCGUAAAGCUCUGUUGUAAGUCAAGAACGGGUGUGAGAGUGGAAAGUUCACACUGUGACGGUAGCUUACCAGAAAGGGACGGCUAACUACGUGCCAGCAGCCGCGGUAAUACGUAGGUCCCGAGCGUUGUCCGGAUUUAUUGGGCGUAAAGCGAGCGCAGGCGGUUUGAUAAGUCUGAAGUUAAAGGCUGUGGCUCAACCAUAGUUCGCUUUGGAAACUGUCAAACUUGAGUGCAGAAGGGGAGAGUGGAAUUCCAUGUGUAGCGGUGAAAUGCGUAGAUAUAUGGAGGAACACCGGUGGCGAAAGCGGCUCUCUGGUCUGUAACUGACGCUGAGGCUCGAAAGCGUGGGGGAGCGAACAGGAUUAGAUACC
rnacentral:rRNA from 1 species